rfam:Felis catus isolate Cinnamon breed Abyssinian chromosome B1, whole genome shotgun sequence.
GCCUGGGUGGCUCAGUGGGUUGAGCAUCCAACUUGGGCUCAGGUCAUGAACUCAUAGUUCGUGGGUUUGAGCCCCACAUCGGGCU